rnacentral:rRNA from 1 species
UACGAAGGGGGCUAGCGUUGUUCGGAAUCACUGGGCGUAAAGGGCGCGUAGGCGGCUUUAUAAGUCGGGGGUGAAAGCCUGUGGCUCAACCGCAGAAUUGCCUUCGAUACUGUAGAGCUUGAGACCGGAAGAGGUAAGUGGAACUGCGAGUGUAGAGGUGAAAUUCGUAGAUAUUCGCAAGAACACCAGUGGCGAAGGCGGCUUACUGGUCCGGUUCUGACGCUGAGGCGCGAAAGCGUGGGGAGCAAACAGG